GACGAACGCUGGCGGCGUGCUUAACACAUGCAAGUCGAACGGAAAGGCCCUGCUUUUGUGGGGUGCUCGAGUGGCGAACGGGUGAGUAACACGUGAGUAACCUGCCCUUGACUUUGGGAUAACUUCAGGAAACUGGGGCUAAUACCGGAUAGGAGCUCCUGCUGCAUGGUGGGGUUGGAAAGUUUCGGCGGUUGGGGAUGGACUCGCGGCUUAUCAGCUUGUUGGUGGGGUAGUGGCUUACCAAGGCUUUGACGGGUAGCCGGCCUGAGAGGGUGACCGGCCACAUUGGGACUGAGAUACGGCCCAGACUCCUACGGGAGGCAGCAGUGGGGAAUAUUGCACAAUGGGCGGAAGCCUGAUGCAGCAACGCCGCGUGCGGGAUGACGGCCUUCGGGUUGUAAACCGCUUUCGCCUGUGACGAAGCGUGAGUGACGGUAAUGGGUAAAGAAGCACCAGCUAACUACGUG
rnacentral:rRNA from 1 species